UAGCUUGCAGAGACAAAUUACUGCUUCUCUCUUGCAGGUAAGAGAAAAUUUUGCUAAGAUUUUAAAAAUACACCUAAGCUAUUUUUCUAACUCUGGCAUGAAGAUGGAAAAAUUUGCCAACCUCGAUCAAAACUUGCCUUAAAGAAAUUGUUGAACAAAAUUAGAAGCCAAAAAGAGGAAUGGACAUCAAAAAGUGAGAAAGAUAGUCAAAGUGAAUUUGACACCAUUGAAUCAGGCACAAUUGCUGGUGAAAAGAGACCAUUAUGUGAUUUAGGACUUAACAAGGAGCAGCAGAAAAAUACAGUGUCUCAAGCCAAAGGUACACAGUACAUACUUGCAUCAAAGUUUGCUGUAAAGUAGCAAAAAGACUUGUACAGGGGGACUAUGACUGUGAUAAUACUGUUUAAUGAACUUUUAGUGUUAAAUGUUUGUCACAUUGAAUGAAAGUACAGUUUCCUAUCUGUGCUCACAAGGCAUUGUGGAUUUGCUGAAACCACAAAUAGGAGAGGCUUUUGCUCUUAUGUCCAACUUGUCCAUUGAGAUCUUGAAGAGAACAGAUGUCCAAAAUACCUUUCUAUCUUUUAAAUCUCACUCAAAUUAUUGUCACACUUGAUGUUUCUGUACUUUAAUAGGUGUUUGCCUCCAGGGAUAGAAUUCUAAGUGCAGAAGUCAGCACUAAAGUUCUCUACCUGUUGAACUGGAAAAGCUGCUUUCUUUGGAGAUUAACAGCUAUAAAUGCCCAAGACAAGCA